UUGUCCAACCACACCUCCGUUUUGUUUGUUUUAUGUUGAUUAUAAAGAUAAUUAUUAUGAUAAUGUGUAGCAAUUUAAGAUCCUGGAUUUAACAAAUCUUCUCAAGCUAAAUGCAGUAUGAUUCGAACCCCCUCAAUCAGAGUGGCCUGUGAUACAUUUUCCAAAGUUCCAGUCAUCUCUUACCAAAGCAGGGGAGAUUGGAAACCUCUGCUCUGCUUGUCAGACUGCACCGUCAUCCUAUGAAAAGAUUAACAUUGGGUAGGUCAGGGCUGUGGGAUGAAUUCCCCAGGCAGGAAAAACCGCUGGCGCCAGAUAACCUGGUAGAGCCAGUUUUAUUCAUGUGGGUUUGUACAAAAAUAACAAUCUAGUAUGUACAAUGUUUUCUGUGCCAUAUAUUUCAUAGAUGACAGAUGGUGUGGAACAGGGACUACAUGGGUAGUCCGAUGAACAAGCAGUUUUAAGUUAUUUAUAGAACACUGAUUUGGCUUUGACGCUUUAUAGUUUAAAUGUGUCAUGUCCUUAAAGGGAACUGAGUUGAAACCAAAGUUAAGCCCACCAAAGGACCGAUUGCACAUGUAAAAUUGCUCAUCAUUUGAGACCCUUAUUGCCAUGAUACAUUUGACUGAUGGUAAAAGAAAAAAUACGAUAGAAGUGUUACUGUAUUUCCUAUUUCCUGGUAUGCUUUUGGGGGCAAGCAGUGGUCACAGGUUAGGCAACAGUAUUCGCAUGAUGCACUAGCUUGCCUCAUGUGACAAGCGCAUGAUAUCCACGUCAGUCUUGACUCAAGAGUGGGUUGAGCCUCAAUGGAAUGUGUUUGUACCAAUAAAUCUGCUGUACUUUGCACCAGCUGUUUAUUAUAAGGCGUGAGUGUCCCACAAACAACUCCUAUAAAAGCCCAUUUCAAGCAGCUGUGAGUGCAACAUGAAAAUUAAUUUGUAAAGAACGAAUGGUUGAUUUGGUAACCCAAUCAAGUAUGACACAAACGUGUUGUUCACAACGGGAGAAAAUAAUCAUAUUUAAACACUGUUUUGGUUAGUUCCAGGGUCUGCCAACUGUGUUGGAUACAAAGGUUGUUUUGAAAACAGCAAGCUACGCAAGUUUCUGUCGGGGCAAAUGACCAAUACCAAUGGCUGGUGUGGGUGAGUGGGACCUGUCUGGCAACAUUAUUGCCCUACACACGGAAUUAAGGUGUGGCAGUUUCACAAGUCAUUCAAUGCGUCAACAAGCUAAUGGUUGAACGGUCACUAACCGUAAGGCCUUUCACAGGUAGGCUUACUUCUGAUCAUAUAACUGGAAUAGUUCAAACGUUUCCUGCUUUUGAUUUCGUCGAAACGGAACCAUGGUAAAGGGCGAGUUACCAGAUUAAAUCCAAUAUGCCCCGUCAGCACAUCUAAAGUUGAUCGCCUACUUUAAUGUUUUUCCAUACACGAUGGAGAAAGCUCGUAUAAGACAUACAGGAGGAUGUCAUUGUGGGGCUGUAAGAUUUGAAGUCUGGAAUUCUCCAGACAUCAUAGUUUUCGAAUGCAAGUAUGACUGUCUAAAAUAAUGACUCCAACAUUCACGUGACAUUUUCAUGCCAAUAGCAUCUUUAACUACUUAUUCAUUCUUAUUUAAACAUAAGGCAAUUAUGAUUUAGGAGCCAUGUUUUUUUUCUACAGCUGUAGCAUUUGUACAAAAAAGCAGAACCGUCAUUUUAUUGUGGCUAAAAAGUACUUCACACUCUUACAGGGUUUGGAUAGUUUGACCACAUACACAUUUAACACCCACACUGCCAAGCACACAUUUUGCAGUAUAUGUGGAGUUCAGAGUUUCUAUUCCCCACGCUCCAAUCCGGAUGGAUAUGGUAUAGCUCCACACUGUCUGGAUCCUGGAACUGUCUGCAGUGUGACGUCAGAGAGGUUCUGUGGUGAGAACUGGGAGGAGAGCAUGCAAAGUCACAAGACUAUCAGGGACAUGUCCAAACCUGUACAAGACAGCACUCACGCUUGAGAAAAACAUACAUCUACCUUUAUUUCCCAUUAUUAUACAUAGUAAUGACAACAUUUGUAUUUCUGUUAUCAUUUUGAAGAAAUAUAAACUUUAUUGAUAA